rnacentral:lncRNA from 1 species
UUGUCUAAUUAAAUAAUUAUGACGUCUUCACAGCACUAAUUUAAAAAAAACUAGUAGCCUUUCAAGACCGUCAUACUCAUGAUAAUUAUUUGGACUAGUAUUGUGUAAAUAAUUGGAAAUUUGUGGUAUCUUGUUUCAUAAAAUUGUAUAAUCAAGAUUAUAUAUACGUCACAACAAUGCGUCACUUUUUGAUUCCUGUGCUGUCGUUAAAGGAUGAUGUACAAUGUUAUUCGGCGGUUUAAAUGUUGUCAUGUACUAUUAUAUAAUGCAUUUAUGUGUUAGUUUGUGCUGAGUGUUC